rnacentral:lncRNA from 1 species
CAGGAACUGAGUCACCAGCUAUGGUCGCCUCCACUUCCAAGAUAAGGUUGUUCCUGUCAGCAGAGUGGCAACGCUUGCUUGGACCAGCCAGAACCUGCUCUUCAGCUUGGAAAGUGAUAAGACACACUGGCAUGUUUUUGUUCUCUUUUCCUAAAUUCCAAGCUGACUACAUUUGCACUGUUUUUCCAGUCAGAGGGCUAUGCAGUUUUCUUGGUUAUAAACUGAUUUGCAUAAGCAGCAGUUCACCUGAGCAGGCAUGUGGGUCAUCCUGUCUCUUAACCAGGCAUGAGCUACAUUGUUCCUGUCUCUUAACCAGGCAUGAGAUACAUUGUUCCUGUCUCUUAACCAGGCAUGAGAUACAUUGUUCCUGUCUCUUAACCAGGUAUGAGAUACAUUGUUUCUGUUUCUUGACCAGGUAUGAGAUACAUUGUUCCUGUCUCUUAACCAGGCAUGAGAUACAUUGUUCCUGUCUCUUGACCAGGAUUAAUUUGUUCUGGCUGUGGAACUGGGGAAACACGUUAUCAGGAGCAGCUCUGCUGGAGAUGAAUUUCAUCCAUUCUAAACUGAUAUUUCUAGUUUCUGAGUGCGCUCAUGCCCAGGAUGCUGGAGAGGUGCAGCCUCUGUGGGAAUCCUGUCAUUUUCUGUACUUUUCAAUAGCUAACAUGAUUCAUCAUGGUGCUAUUACACGUUCUGAAUUAUCCCUCUUCUUUAAAGCUAUGUGUGAAUAAGGAAAUCUGUUUCCCUUUGUGUUGAAUUUAAAAUAGAGAUGUGUUAUGGAUUAUCUGUAGCGUCCUAGCUUCCAGUAUUCAAUGUCUUAUUGACAGACUUAUUAAGUCAAGGCAGGUGACAACUGAAACACAAGAUUUUUUUUUGCUGAGAUGCCCAAGAAACACAAAAACAAGAAUAACUGACUUAAUUUAAGAUGGACAAAAGACAUAUGCUGACGCCUACAGACACUGUCUACGGUGUAGCUGUUAACAGGAUGAACCGAGAGGCAUGGCCUUGCAAGUCCAUUCCACAUACCCUUACCCUCCCAAACCAGAGAAGCCCAAUGGUGCUGAAAGAUAGUGGGAACCUGGACCCAUUGUUUAUACUCUACAAGAUCAUUCUAUAUAUGACCUUGAUUCUGACCUGGACAGGACAAUAAAUAGUCCAGAGAAGAAUAGAUUGUCUUCCAAAAUAAAUGGAACAAAACUCAGUUUCUUUUCCCUACCCCUGUCCCUCUGUCUCCCUUUCCAUCUCUAGUCAGAGACCAUGGCUCCUCAACCACAGCCAAGACAGGAAGAUGAGUAUCACCUGCUAGAAUGGCUUGCUGUGUAAUGAAAAGAGCUGUGAUGGGGGACUGGUGCGUCCCCCUAUACACCUCUCUAAAAUACAACAGCAGAGUGCCUCUCAUCCCCCACCCCUUUACAGCCCAGAAACCAUUGCUAGAAACUCCAGUAUCGUGAUCAGAUAUUUGAGCUGGGAAGGUGUGUUGUAGAGCCCGAAAGGAGGAUGCGCACCAGCUUCCUCUCUGGUCUGCUUUCUGGGUGUUCAGAAGAAAGUAAGGAGGUAUGACUGCUUCCCCAGCACUCUCUGAACAUAGAGUUCUCUUUUCCAAUAGGUAUAGGUGGGGAAUGCUCAAAUGGCCCCUGAGAGAUGGGCAGUUCCAGAUACGGAAAAAGAAGGCUUUGACCAAAGCAGCAUGGUAUCUCUGUAAGUAAAUUUCUUCAGGAAAGGAUUCAUCUCAGGAUAGAUAGUUUUGUAUCUCUAAGAUGAUUUACAGGCAGGAGAGAGAACGAGGCCCUCAGGGGAAGGGUGGGAUAAAGGAAGAAAGGUAGCCACCCGACCCAAACCAUGAGAGCAGAAAGAAAAGGGUUUGGAGGCAGCUGCUAAAGCAGACUUCACUCCACAGCCUGGAGUAUGAGAGCCAAGGGAGGUGACAGUGAACACCCAUAGGAAUUACAUGCAUUCCUAGUGAACAACCUGAACAGGGUGCAGGGAACAAUGGCCAGAAACAGUAGAAGGCAGCCUGAGCCGAAGACCAUCUGGGAGAAAAUUAAAAUUGCCAGACGCCCAUAGAGGCAUACUUUAUAAUGUGUUGAAGUUUCAUGCUAAAGAAUCUUUGAAAUGAGCAGUUUACCAGCGGGAGAACUGAUAGCAGCUAAAUGCUGCUGUAAGAAACAGGAUUAUAGUUGAGAAUUCCAGGUUACUGGUAGGGUUAGCAUGCAGAGAGGCUCUGCAAAUUCAUUUUCAGAUUUACAAGAGAGAGGGGGAAAGACAGAGAGAGACAGAGACAGACAGAGAGAGGCGGAGAAACAGAGACAGAGACAGGUAGAGACAGAGAUGGAGACAGAGACAAGGAGACAGAGAGAGAAAGAUGGAGACAGAGACUGAGAGACAGGCAGAUGGCAGAAAGAGGGAGGGAGGUAGAAAAAAUGUCUCUAAUGAUCACUCUGAUCUACAUAAAAUACAAAAUAAGUAUCUCAAAUGUUUCUAAACUGUACAUUAAGUGCUAAUGUGUACCAUGGGAAAUGGGGUUUAUUUAGAUCUGGAAAGCUAAAAUCACACACAAAGAAAUUGAUAAAUAAGGAUAAAGAACUUGUAGUUCAAGUUUUCCAUAAUGAGCUGAUGUUAUUUUAUAAUUGGGAAAAAAAUACAAAAUGUUACCAUUUACCAAGAAAUACUCUUUUCUCUAAGUGGCUUUAAGUUUGAAACCCAGUUUAUUUCUAAACUGAGAUUACUACCAGAUCAGAUGGAAAGGUCUACCAUCAAUUAAAAGUGAAGGGAUCCCAAUAAGCUGGGGCCAGAAGAAACUACAUAGAGGGGCUGGAUCGACAGAGCAGUAGUUAGGAGCACUCAGGGCUGCCUUCAGUUCCAAACACACACUGGGUGCUCACUGCUGCCUCUCACUGCAGUUCCGGGAGAUACAGCGCCCUCUUCUGGCCUUGGAGGGCAUCUGCAUGCACACAGUGCACAUACCUACACUCAGCAGGGUAUGCACACACAAACACACACACACACACACACACACACACACACACACACACACACACACACACAAAACAAAUAAUGAAAAAAAUUUCAGAAAGAAAACCAAAGAAACAAGGUCUAUAAAUGCUUUUCUUUUUCCUCAUCUGAUCUUUUUUGAUCAGUUAGAAAAAUUCUUAGCAUGGGUGAAAGGGAACAUUAGUCAGUAGACAGUCAAAGUAGGAUGGAAUCUGUCUUCUCAGCUGAUGUAUCAGUUUACAACUGCCAGUUCCUUAUGAGUUUUCUUGGGAAUUCAUAAACUACAGUUGAGACAAGCUGAGAAUCUUGAAACAGAAUGUUUCUCCUCUAUGAUUUUGGCCUUUAGUGAAGCUUUGAUUUGAAGUAGGAGAAGGGGAAAUCUCAUGAAUUCUUGCUUGUACACGGUUAACUAGAAUAGGUAUAGGGACAAAAGCGAGUGAUUGUCAUAAAUGUUAAAUGUUCAUCUAAACUUCGAUCCUUUCCCUCCUUCCUUUAUGGUUACACUGUGAUAUUUGUCUUUUUUGAAUUUAUCUCUCUACUUCCCUUGAUUGUUAAAAGAAAAAAAUAUAUUGGAAGAGAUAUGAAGAAAACUCUAAUACUGUGCUACAAAAAUGUGGUUGCUUCUUAGAAAAUCUUGCUGCCAUGUAAUUUUGAAAAACAAAAUCAGAAAAUCAAGAUGUUGGCCAGUGACCUCUGCCCCUGCCCAGUGACCCUCCUAAAAUGCCACCCAAUCCCAUUAAUAGUUCUUGACAACUCUAUGGAAUGCCAUCUUAAACACUUCAAGCAUAUGUGGAGCGUAUAAAAUAACACAGGGGAAUUUAUAGAUUAUGGUUUCCCACUAACUGUUCAUCUCUGGGCUCCAAAGGACUUCUUUGUAAAGCAGAUAUUUGCUCAUUUGAUAAAUGAGACAACUCC